GACGAACGCUGGCGGCGUGCUUAACACAUGCAAGUCGAACGAAGUGGCGAACGGGUGAGUAACGCGUAAUCAACCUGCCCUUCAGAGGGGGACAACAGUUGGAAACGACUGCUAAUACCGCAUACUGUAGGACGGGAUUGCGUCUGAUUAGCUAGUUGGAGGGGUACCGGCCCACCAAGGCGAUGAUAAGUAGCCGGACUGAGAGGAUGAACGGCCACAAGGGGAAUGAGACGCGGCCCAGACUCCUACGGGAGGAAGCAGUGGGGAAUCUUCCGCAAUGGACGAAAGUCUGACGGGGAAACGCCGCGUGAGUGAUAGCGGCCUUCGGGUUGUAAAGCUCUGUUAAUCAGGACGCGGUACCGGAAUAGAAAGCCACGGCUGACUACGUGCCAGCAGCCGCGGUAAUUC
rnacentral:rRNA from 1 species